UACGAAGGGGCUAGCGUUGUUCGGAAUCACUGGGCGUAAAGGGCGCGUAGGCGGCCUGAUAAGUCGGGGGUGAAAGCCUGUGGCUCAACCACAGAAUUGCCUUCGAUACUGUUAGGCUUGAGACCGGAAGAGGUAAGUGGAACUGCGAGUGUAGAGGUGAAAUUCGUAGAUAUUCGCAAGAACACCAGUGGCGAAGGCGGCUUACUGGUCCGGUUCUGACGCUGAGGCGCGAAAGCGUGGGAGCA
rnacentral:rRNA from 1 species